rnacentral:tRNA from 1 species
UCCCUGGUGGUCUAGGGGUUAAAACUCUGACCUUCCAAUGCAGGGGCAUAGGUUCGAUCCCUGGUCAGGGAA